AUUUCAGGAUAAUUAUGUCCCAUUCAAUAUUUGGGACAUACUUAUCCUAAGA
rnacentral:pre_miRNA from 1 species